UACCAGCACCCCGAGUGGUCGGGACGUUUUAUUGGGCCUAAAGCAUCCGUAGCCGGUUCUACAAGUCUUCCGUUAAAUCCAACUGCUUAACAGGUGGGCUGCGGAAGAUACUAUAGAGCUAGGAGGCGGGAGAGGCAAGCGGUACUCGAUGGGUAGGGGUAAAAUCCGUUGAUCCAUUGAAGACCACCAGUGGCGAAGGCGGCUUGCCAGAACGCGCUCGACGGUGAGGGAUGAAAGCUGGGGGAGCAAACCGG
rnacentral:rRNA from 1 species